rnacentral:rRNA from 1 species
UACGUAGGCAGCGAGCGUUGUCCGGAUUUAUUGGGCGUAAAGAGCGUGUAGGCGGCUUUACAGGUCCGUUGUGAAAACUCGAGGCUCAACCUCGAGACGCCGGUGGAAACCGUAAAGCUAGAGUCCGGAAGAGGAGAGUGGAAUUCCUGGUGUAGCGGUGAAAUGCGCAGAUAUCAGGAGGAACACCCGUGGCGAAAGCGGCUCUCUGGGACGGUACUGACGCUGAGACGCGAAAGCGUGGGGAGCAAACAGG